rnacentral:rRNA from 1 species
UACGGGGGGAGCAAGCGUUGUUCGGAUUUACUGGGCGUAAAGGGCGCGUAGGCGGCCACCGCAAGUCGAUUGUGAAAUCUCCGGGCUUAACCCGGAAAGGUCAACCGAUACUGCGGGGCUAGAGUGCAGAAGGGGCAACUGGAAUUCUCGGUGUAGCGGUGAAAUGCGUAGAUAUCGAGAGGAACACCUGCGGCGAAGGCGGGUUGCUGGGCUGACACUGACGCUGAUGUGCGAAAGCUAGGGGAGCAAACGGG